rnacentral:rRNA from 1 species
AGAGUUUGAUCCUGGCUCAGAACGAACGCUGGCGGCACGCCUAACACAUGCAAGUCGAGCGCACUUAUGAUCUUCGGAUUAUAGGCGAGCGGCGGACGGGUUAGUAACGCGUGGGAACGUACCCUUUACUACGGAAUAGCCUUUGGAAACGAAGAGUAAUACCGUAUACGCCCUUCGGGGGAAAGAUUUAUCGGUAAAGGAUCGGCCCGCGUUAGAUUAGAUAGUUGGUGGGGUAAUGGCCUACCAAGUCUACGAUCUAUAGCUGGUUUGAGAGGAUGAUCAGCAACACUGGGACUGAGACACGGCCCAGACUCCUACGGGAGGCAGCAGUGGGGAAUCUUAGACAAUGGGCGAAAGCCUGAUCUAGCGAUGCCGCGUGAGUGAAGAAGGCCUUAGGGUCGUAAAACUCUUUCGCCAGAGAUGAUAAUGACAGUAUCUGGUAAAGAAACCCCGCUAACU